UACGAAGGGGGCUAGCGUUGCUCGGAAUUACUGGGCGUAAAGGGCGCGUAGGCGGAUAUCUAAGUUGGGGGUGAAAGCCCGGGGCUCAACCUCGGAACUGCCUUCAAUACUGGAUAUCUUGAGUUCGGGAGAGGUGAGUGGAAUGCCGAGUGUAGAGGUGAAAUUCGUAGAUAUUCGGCGGAACACCAGUGGCGAAGGCGACUCACUGGCCCGAUACUGACGCUGAGGCGCGAAAGCGUGGGGAGCAAACAGG
rnacentral:rRNA from 1 species